GUCAUAAAACUUGACGAAGGUUUUUUUUUUCUCAGAAUUGUGCUAUUUUCUCGUAUACACUUAAAUUAUUCCUAGAUUUUCCUUAAUUUAGUGCUCUUUUGAGAUAUUAUUGAAGACUUUUAUUAUAUUUAAGAUCAUGGAAAAGCCAGCUGAGCCUCAGAAAAAGCCAGUCAGAGACUUAAAAUCGCUUCCAACUCGCCAAUACAUUGACCAAACUGUGGCUCCAAUUCUGCUCAAGGGGCUGCAGACAUUGGCAAAGGAGCGCCCACCAGACCCUGUUAAUUUCCUGGCAAAUUAUUUGCUGCAGAAUAAAUCGCGAAAUGAUGAAAGUCCUUCAGCUGCUCCAGCAGAAAAUUCAUAAAACAGCAUGCGUAGAGAUAAAAAAUAUUCAAAUAUUGUUUUCGUUCAGUUUCUGACAUUCGCACAUGCCGGUUUUCGUCAUGGCUACACUUCCGCUCAUAUAUAUUAGAACGCCUCAUUAUUAUUAUUUUCUAAAUCUAAAUGUAAACCAAAUUAAUUAUAAUAAUAUUCCACUGCAGUAAGCAAAUAAAGUUUAUCAUUAAUUUGUAAACAUGUAUCAUUGAAAAAGUGAAAGAAAAUAUAUAAUUAUCAAGCUGUUAGAAUGAAUUCAUUCAGUAGCAAAUAAAAUAUUCUCGAAAGAA